GCUUCAGAUAUUGUCUGACGACUGUCAUUAAAAAUAUUUGAAAAUACGUGCCAAACGAUAAAAUGGUCAAGAUAUCAACGCCAUGGGGUUCACAAUAUUUACAGAUUUAAAAUACAAACUGGUUUAAUUUGGUCCAAGGGCUCAGGCAUUCAUAGUGUAUGGAUGAAUAUUAUUAAAUCGUGAGUAUAUAACCUUAAGAUAAAGGCCCGGUAUAAUAACAGUUUAUAUUCCAUGACUACAACCAGAACAGGGUAGUAUAUGAUAUAUAGGUGUUUAUCACAUCGCUACAGGAAGCUAUCCAGUACAGUAUCAGAACGACUACACGUAGAUAAAAUCUAUCAAUCAAGCAAAAAGCGAAACAUGAUACUGGAUAAAUAAAAUCUCGUGCUAAAUUCAAAUUGCCACUCAGACACUCCGAGAGAAACCGUUUGCAUUUAAAUGUUGCAUUUAAAUGUUUCGUAGAAAUUCUUUGCUACUUAUUUUACACAACCAGUGAGGUAUGUAUUGGUUUUUACAGUGAAUCGAGUACACCAAUUUAUUAUUUAAUUUGUUAGACCGCCUCAGAAUCAAAUGGGCUGAACGGACGAGAUUAAAGCCAUAGACCGGGUCAUAAACUAUAGAAAUGUUAUUGUAUUGACUGGGAGUCGGAUUGUAUUUGCCGCUAUAUAAAAAGCGGAGUUCUUUCGACCAACAAGUUUUAAAAUCAAUGAGCUGACUUGCACCAUAGUUCCCAGAUAAAGAGCUUUGGAACUACAUUCUGACAACAAGUUCAGAGCUGCAAAGUUCAGAGUGGCUAGGUUUUGGGGCUGAACUCCAGGUCACGGCUGGACUUACAAAUUUCACGGUAUUCUAAUUAUUCUCAAUUAAUCCGACGAGAAGAGUUAUGGGGAAAAGAGCCAGAGGAGUAAUCCAAGAGCGUAUGCCUUCCAAUCUUCAAAUCACCUCUGUAAUUUUCUAAUGCAGGAAAUAACAUUCUAAAGACCACAGAAACACGAAUUUGUGGAUGGGUCAUGUCAAUCAAUGAAUUGCAUAAUACUGCCCUCAAUCUGUUUAAAAUGGCCUCAGUUCUUAGAUAACCUGCAGGUUUUUAAUCAUCUGAACUUGACAGUGCAAGUUGUUGAAACAGGCAUUGCCACAAGUCUGCUGCAGGUAGUACAGAGAAGGUUUUUGGUUGAAUCAAACUGAAACACUCAUCUUACCUACAUGCGAUUGAUAACGAAAUUAUAAUCAGAAAACCAUGCAUAAUGUCUAAUUAGCCAUUCCGGAGUUGAUGAGUGGACUGGGGACGAGUGUUAAAAAGUGCUCAAAUUAAGAAAUGAACUAAAUCACUAAAAAGACCACCUCAAAAUUAGUAAGUAUACACAGUUUGAAGACGUUUGCAUGAAUACCCUUCGAAUAAUAAGCUUUCGAAAAUUAUGAAAUUACUGAUUAAAAGAUAGUAAAUAUCGGAUUUUCGAAAGCUUAUUAUUCGAAGGAUAUUCAGGUAAACGUCUUCAAACUUUGUAUACUUACUAAUUUUGAGGUGGUCUUUUAGUUAUUUGGUUCAUUUCUUAAUUUGAGGACUUUUUAACACUCGUCCCCAGUCCACUCAUCAACUUCGGAACUGUCUAAUACUAAUAGGAACCGAUGGAACUAGUGGUAACCAAGGUAACCAAGCACGAAUCCUAGGUACAGGGGACCCACAACCAUUAACGCCAAUAAUGAAACACAUUGGAUUAUAAGCUAACUUAAAUUCUUCCUAGGUAGCGCAUACUGGAUGAAUGAAAGAUGGAUUCUCCCGCCCCGGUGCAAAGACCUGGACGACUUCGUUCAUUCUUACUCAUCAUAGAACACACAAUAUCACGAAGCUACACUAUACAGUACUUGCUACUGCUGCACUGCUUGUCUUGGUCAGCGGAGAGCAGAAUUCACGUGACCCUACUAAUAAUCGGGCUUGUUACAAUUAUCUAUUUUUAUGGAUGUCGUCACCUCGCGAGAUUGGUUUACGAAAUCGCAGUGCUAUUUUCAUUUUUUGUUGUAGUUUUAAAAGCAGUCUUAGCUAUUUCAUUCAUUUUUGCUUUAUAUGAAGUAAUUCUUAAUAUACUUGGCUAUCAUUCAGAGGAUUAUAAGUUAAUCAAACAAAAGAUCGAAUUAUUAAUAACUGAAUACAGCUCGGUGACGUGUACAUGGGUUUUGAACACGACUACCGAUGGCACUGUGGUACUGGGUUCGAAUGACGUCAUUAAUCUAUGUCACACUAUAUGGUAUAUAUUGUAUGUACUUAUGAUAGCCAUGGGGUUAUAUAUGGGUAUGCCACGUUUAGAGAGGAUACAUAAGGAUAAUUUCUGGACGAAUGUGUACUUUACGGUACUGAUGGUGGUAGUGUGGAAAAUGUUGGAAAGUUUACUGUUCAACGGUUUGUGGCAGUCAGCGGAGAUUCGACGAGCAUCAUGCGUGUAUGUACACUACAUAAGAUAUGGGGAGGCUGGUUUUAAGUCAAGUAUAGUCAAGCAAUAGACCAAACCCAUGUUUAUGCAAGUUGCAACCAUCGUUAAUGGAAUAAAUGGUUUGGAAACUCAUUAGAAUAACAAUAUAACUCAUUAUCUAUGUUAGUCAACAUUUAUUCAUAAAUCUAGUCCUUCACCAUCACGUGUGUAUUGUAUUUUUGCCCAACUAACCAAUAGCAAUGUUUUAAGAAAGUUACCUAUCCCGGACUCGAACAAUAAGGUAAAUUGAAAAUUGCUAUUGGUGGAUUUGGCAAAAAUACAUACACACGUGAUGGUGAAGGCCUAGAUUUAUGAAUAAACGUUGACUAACAUAGAUGAGUUAUAUUGUUACUCUAAUGAGUUUCCAAACCAUCUACUUUAUUAACCAUGUUGCCACCAAAUUAAUAUAUUUCAAAUAACUCACAUGCCUAGUUACCACUGUUCUGAUGGGUGAUUGCUAGAUAGUAUACUUCAUAAUAGAGGUUUCCGUUUUUAUAACGUAGAAAAAACUAUCUUAACGCAAAACUAAACACUAACCCUAAUACUAAACCUAACCCUAACCCUAAACCCUAAUCUGACUCUAACGUAUUUUAAUUAAAAAUAGAAUAAAAACGGAAAUCUUAUUUUGAGGUAUACUAUCUAGCAAUUGCCUGUUCUGAUGAUGUAAGCAUAGAAUGAAACAAAGAUAACCAAGCAUUUAAAUUAUAUAUGUCAGUAAAUUGGGUGGUCAACAGCAUAAACAUGCGCUAACAUCUCGAACAACGGCAACAACAGCUCAGUACAGAUUUUUAUAAACAAGCCGAUUAGCGGUCUAUAACAGGCUUGUCACGAUUUAAAUUAUCAUGUAAGAGGCGUGAAAUAUGCAAAUAUAUCUUAAUAUAUAAAACUGUC